rnacentral:lncRNA from 1 species
UUGUUAAUGUGAUAUAUUGUAAGUGAUAGGCGGUUGUCGAAGCCGUAAAAAAUAAACCUAUUAAACAAUCAACAAUAAACUUGUAGAUAGUGGCAAUAGGGUCGAACCACAGGGAAUUGACACUAAAGAUCUUCCUAAUAAUAACCAAGAUAAGUAAAUAACAAAUAAGUAAAAGAGGGGGGUUUUUGAAUUGAUGAUUAAAACUAAAUAGCAAAGGAGAACAAUAAUUUAAUUGAAAAGGAAUUCCAACGAGAAAGAGAUUCUAGCUGAAGUGUGAGUCUAAUUCAGUUUGUUCAGAAUUGAUCAUUGAUUAUUAAAGACUCCUAUUUGAUUUCAAUAAAUUAGUUUUGGUUGUGGAAGACGCUUCUCACAAUCCAAAUUCCUCCUUAGUUCUAGUUUGAUUAGGAAACGUUCGCUAAUCAAACACUAAUCAACAAGUUGCCAAGGAACGUCCUUGGGGCAUUGUAGCAUCGAACAACUGUUGAUUGCAUUAAGAUUUAGAGAAACCCAAUUCUAUCCUUGCCAACCGCGUGGUCAAGUUUAGAUUAUGCAACCUGAUUAAAUGUGAAUUUGAACAAUCAAAGCAAUUACGGACCUAAACCAUUCAAACAAUAUUACUAAGCAAUUUAAAAGCAAUGGGCCCUUAUUGAUUCUAAAAGCUAAGUAAUAUUUAUAGAAAAGAUCAGAUUGCAUAAAUAUUGAAACAAACAAGAGUUCAACAAUGGAGUAUUAAACCUCCCAAUUCAUCACAAAUCUGAAUAUUCUCAACUUCAACUAGAAAAGAAUGAGUUUAGCCACUCAUGGUGACUAAAAUACACAAAAGAUGAAAAGAAAGAAAAAGAAAGAACAGCUGAAGAGUUUCUGGCGAGGGAGAAGGUGCUGAGUUCCUGAUCAGAAGAUGAUCCCUUGCUGGUUUGGAGGUUGCCCCUUUUAUAGCUAAAGAAAUCUCUCCUUCUAGGGUUUUGAAAUCCCUUUUUAAUUUGGCUUGUGAUUCCUCUUUUGAUGUUGAAUUUAAUUGCAACUGGAAUUCCUUAAGUGAGAAACUCUUUCGUGGCUCUUGGAAUUGAUUUGGUGGUGAUUGAGUUGGAUUUGGACUUCUGAAAACUCAAAAUUCAGUUUCCAGCUGUUUUCCCGCCUCUGCUGUCAAGGUGAUUUGCCUAGUUUUUCUGAGAGUGAUUUGGGCAAAUCACUGGGCAAAUCGCUCUCUGGGAUUCAGUCCAGUUUCUGUCUCUGUAGUUCUGCUGUCAAGGUGAUUUGCCCAGUUUUUCUGAGAGUGAGUUGUGCUAAUCACUGGGCAAAUCACUUUUGCUGUCAUUUUCUGCACUUUUUCUCCAACUCUUCAAUUUCUUACUUUUCUAUAAAAACAUAACAAAAACACAAUUUAA